rnacentral:lncRNA from 1 species
UCCUCCCAUGGUGCCAUUCGUUGCCGCUCGGAUCUCCGUCGCGUGGUGCAAAUCUUCAACGGUUUUCGGUGGAGGGAGGAAGGGAGGAAGAAAAGGGGGAGAACCCAAGGUGGUGGACUUCCGGAUCGUACUUAGGGAUUUGCCCGAACUUCCGGUAAAGGCAAGUAAAUAUAGUGGUGGUUGCUACCGUUUGGUUUGCAUCCUAUUCCCUGUCAUUGAGUAUGCAAAAGUUUUAAUUAUGUUAAUCAUUGAAUUAUAUGAUGAAGUUUAUUUGUUUGGAAGUAUUAAUUCUCAAUUGUCUAAUAUUGUGGAUGAUCAUAAUUUGGUAAUGAUAUAUGUGGUUGAUUCCCAUCUUGGAUGAAGUUGAAGUAUCUUUUUGAAUCAUGUUAUAUGAAGUGUUGUAGGCAUGACAUGCACAUCGCAUCAUCCAUCUUGCAUUUUGAAGUUAUGUCGUGAUCUUAUGGUCCGACCGUACCGGUACAUUUUUAGCAUCGUACGUUGCCCGAGGAGGGGUACGAUGCGGCUUCAUAUCCUUAGAGGUAUGAAGGCAGAAGUCAUCCUUGCAUUUGCAGACAUUUGCACUCAUGAGGUAUAUAUGAAGUGUGACAUUACUAUGUUACUAUUGUGGUUUCUACCCGCGAGGUGUGGACUAGGUGUGUUGUACGUUGUAUACGUGUUGCACCUUCGUAAUAAGAAAGUUGUGGAAUCAAGUGGUGGUAAAACAAUGUUCUUAUGUGGUUAAACAGUUUGAUAUUAUUUUACUUGCUGAGAUGUGUCAUCUCACUCUUGCAUUACUCAAUGUAGGUACUUGAUACAUAUUGGGAAUGAGGGGAGUAGCAGCACGUCCUCUUUCACUCUCACAAUAACGCUGCCCAGGCGCAGCCAUGAUUUAAUUAGAAAUUUAUUGUCAAAGGAAGUUUGUUUUUUUAACUAGUCGUGCGCACUAGUUAAUUCAGUUCAUGUCGUAUGUUUAACUUCUCUUUACUAGUCGAUUAAUAAUACUUAGUAUGUUUUUGUCAUGAUAUAUGUUUAUACAUUGUUGCCCCCUCAUUUAUGCAAUUUUGCAAAGGGGAUGCUACCGAAAUUUUAUAUAUAGAUGUCAGAAGUGUUGUUUAGUAGCAUUCCGGGGUGUUUGUGGAACCCGGAGUGUUACAGUUGGUAUCAGAGGAUAGGCUUUAGAUUCUACGCAAUUUGAAGAUAAAUUUGACACACUUGCACAUAUAGGAAGGGUAUGGGUUCGUAUAUCUUUCAUAUUAGUAUUUUAUUGUAUAGAUGACUAGAACUUCCUUACUACAAAUCCCUUUAUGGUUUGAUGGGGUAUGUCGUUAACGACGUAAUGCUUGAUAUGAUAUGUUACUUCUAUUUAAUAUUGGUUUCUUGAUGUGGUUGUUAUUGAAGAUAUUAUGCAAGUGAAGCUACUAGUGUACUUGUUUUAUAUACAUAUCAUCAUGAUGUUUUUUUUGGAUGCAAUGUUUUCAAAUCUCUGAGCUAUUACCAUCAUAUAUUUCUAUAUGCUUGACUGUGGAUGUUUUUCCCCAAAAGGAUUCUUGGGUUCUUGUACUUAUAGGACCGAUUGUUUUUUUGAGCUUGUGUAUAGUGGGUCUAAUCCGACUUGUUGUAGUGUGAAAACACUAUAUAAUGUAGUUUUAUGGUGUUGUUGAGUUUGAUUGACUGUUGGGUUACCACCCAACUUAUAAAUGUAAUAUUUGCAUGGGUGCAAUGCUUUGCGCCUCACUUUUUUUUAGGCUAGUGUGGCUACUUGCUAACUUGAUCUUAGUAUAAAAUUGGUUUGUCUCUAUAGAGCAGAGGCAACGUUGUAAUGUCUAUGAAAUCUUUAGACUGGUAGAACUCGAGUGAAUUUGUGAGAUGACGUAGAUUGAUAAGUCCAACCAUGUCUACCUAAUAGAUUUUCUUAUUAUGUGCAACCUUAUUUUUAACAAUAAAUAGGGUGGUUUCAAGUGGAUUUUAUGUCGUGCAUGUUUUCCUUCUAUGGCUUGUUUCAAUAGCCAUAAAGGCUAUGUAUAAUUUUUAGUUGUUGCAGGCUAGUCAUGUGGGCGAUAUUGACAACCCGUUUUAUAUUUUUUUAUUUGCCAACAUUGUAUGGCAGUUUGAUUUUUUAUGAGCAGUUUCUCUAUGCAUGCUUGUUGAAUUAUUAUUUGGACCGCUUUAUCUUAAACAAAGUCAAUGUUUAACUGGAAGUUGCUUAUGUUUGUUAGUCAUCUAUCUCUAUAAUGAUGUGGUUGUUGCAUCAGAUGGAGAUUUUUUUAUAUGAAUGAUGGUUUGAUAGAUCAUGUAUGUCUACUACUUUGAAUUCAUCCUAUGACAUCACUAGGUACAAAUUGUUCAAGUGCAAUAAUAGGAGGUAUUGUUGUAUGUGAGGUUAAUCAAGGUAGUUUGGUUGGGUGGAUUGUCUUAUUGAAGUCCAAUUACUCCUGUUGAGCAUAGUAUCGUGUUAUUAUUUUAGUGUUGAAAGUAAUAUUUAUGAAGCUUUUGCAUGAGUCUGUGUCAAGAAGUACAUUAGUUUUUCUUGUUGUUAUCCCUCCAUUGCUUUAUGAGUAUUGCAAAUUUUAUCUCUUUUGAGAGGAGAAAAAGAUGUUAUAUGACAUGAGCACCAUUUGCUUCACGUCAACAGAAUAGUUUUGGAGAUUUCUAGUAGUUGGAUUCUAGUGUAAUAACAACCAUGUUUUAUAGUGCUGGAGACGGGUAUGUCAGGUGUUUCAUACAUUGUCGAUACAUGGAUGUUUGACCUUAGUGGCAUUAACAAACGAGGUUGUUGAAUUCAUUGAUUGUUGUGCUUAGUGUUCUAACCUAUUUGGUAGAGUGUUAUUUAAAGACUUUGUAGAGUUGCAUCCCAGUUUGGUAGUGGAAAAUCCUAGUGUUGAUUGCACCUGCCAAUGACUUGGGUUUCAUUUUAUAUUGUUUUUUUUAUUGUUGAUAAUGUGUUGUUUGGUUUCGGGACGCAUUUUAAAUUAGUUGGAGGCUGAAUCAGGCUUCACUUAUCUAGAAUGUUUUGUAGUAUGUUUCUUCAUCUUUCCAUAGGAUGCUUAAUCACCAUGUUUGGUCUAAACAUUUGAGAGAUAUGGGUUUCUUAAAACAUCUUUGUUGGUGUCUCUAGCAGAGUGAGUCUUUAAUUUUGUACGGAAGAGUAGACAUUGAAGAUGGUAUAAUUUGGUCUUUGUGGAUUAUGAAAGUUUUAGUAAUUUCAUGAUCUUUUCAAAGAGUAUGGGUUUCUAAUUCUCAUUGCAUAUAAUUGGAGUUAGGUUGCUCUGAAGUUGUUGCACUGUUGUGUCUGAACUUUAGGUGUCGUUAUAAUCACCAAUAAAUCGACCGCGUUUUGAUAGCGCAGAGCACAAAUUUGCGAAUUCUCUUUAAGCAAAACUUGUAGGUCUUUUCAGUACCUUUUUAAUGGGUAUUUACUUGUAACUGUCUGUUAAAUAGAUUUGGAGAGGUGGUUGCCCGGAUAUAAGUCGAAUCUCUAAUGUGCAGUAUCUCAGGCUGAGUUUAGUUGUAGGUCAUGCAGAGUUGAGGGCUAUAAGGAUUAAUUUGGGUGCAACUUUAUUGCAAAAGUCGUGGACAAUUUUCAAAACUUUUCCAACGCGUUUUCGUUGUAGUUUAAGUUGAGUAUAGCAGGAGUUAUAGGUUUUUGAAUUUUAGUUGUCCAUUGUUUCAAUCCUAUCAGUUUUGCAACAAAAGAGUUGCAUUGUUUUAUCGGUUUGGAAACCAAUUCCGAGACACUCAUUAUAAUAAAAGUUCUAGGGAAUGUUAUAAUCUUUUCAAUGAGUUUAUAUUUGCAAAAUUUUGUUAGCUGCAGGGAGUUAUGAUAUCAUGUAUAGAAUGUGCUUGGAUGAAUAUGUGGGCAGACAUAACAUGCUUAAAUUGAUUCUUGUUUGCAUGAAGUGAGAUUAGGCUUAAAUGAUUUAAAAAGUUAUCAUAUUGCUUCUAUACUUAUAUUUGUUCUAGGUGUCUCGUAAUGAAGAACCUAAAGUUAUUAGUCUUUCAAUGAACGCUUAAUCUUAGAAGAGUAAUGAACCUGAUAAAAUUUAUUGCUUGCUAUUGGGACUGCAUGACCAGUUUUAGUUAUGCAGCUAGUUCAAUGAAGUAAACCAUCUUUUCUGUAGAGAUGUUAUAUAUAAAAGUUGUAGCCAACUUCUUUAUCUUACUUGUGUAAAAAUUGCAUGACCAUAGGUCUAGUAGUUUGGGAGUUAUGAUUUUCUCAAGUCCACUCUUGAAAUCUGUGCAGAUUCUGUACAGAUUUCGAAGCUGACCUUGUUUGCCCAAUUUAAACUUCGAAUAACUUAUUAUAAAUUAUAAAGAAGUUGUAGUACUUUUCAUAAUCGUUUCAACAAAUUUUGGAUUAAUUUUUUUGGAGAUCUAUAAGUUAAGUUACAGUUGUUUUAAGUGUGAUCUCUGAAUCUGUCCAAAUUUGGACAACAGAGCCUUUCUCGUGUCUUUUGACCUUAAUAUGCAUUGAAUUAACUUGAUAUGUUUAUAAAUGAAUUAUAGACAAUUCUACUAGCUUUCUAAAAAGUCUGGGAGCACCUGAAUUGGAUGAUUGAAACUCCAAUUAUGGAUUUUUGAAUUGAGUAGUUGAAUUAUGUCCAAGUCUGGACAGAAUUUACGUUUAGCAUUGUUUGACCUUUCUAAGUGUCAAAUCUUGUUGUGAUGUUAAUACCAAGGGUAUAGGGGACUUUAUAAGCUUUCCAUAAAGUCCUAGUUUACUAAUUUUUGAUGCAUAUUUUUUGAGUUAGGAGCAAAACAAUUAACCGCUGUGCUGCUAUCUAGAAAUAUGCAAGCAUUAAGUUGCUCUUGUUUGGCUAAGUUUGGUUUAGGCUAUAGGAACAUUAUAUGCCUUGCAUUCAUAUAUACAUUCCUUGAAGUACUUGCAUAUGUCAAUGAUUGAUUUGGUGUCAGGAAAGCUUGGUCCGAGGUAUAUAGGACCGUCUACUAUCUUGGCCGAGUUGGCAGCUGGGCUUAGCACAUGUAAUUGUCAGAAUCUAUGAUCAGAGUACACCAAGUAUUCCAUGUCUUUAUGUUGAGGAAGUAUUUGCGGAAUCCAGACCAUCAAAUCGAGCUAGAGCCAAUUCCUGUGUAGCAAGAGCAGACUCUAGAGUGUCGUCUGCUGCGUAUCUUAGAAUCCUAGGAGCUUAAGGAGCUGAUGCAGCAGAAGUACUCGAACUUUUCUUUAUGUGUGAGUUUUGUUGAUUCAUUAAUCUUUCUUUUGUUGUUCCGAUAGAAGCGUCGGAAUUCGAGGUCGAAUUCUUUUUAAGGGGGUAGAGUGUGACACCCGGUUUGCAAAGAAGAGAAGUUGGAGGGUAUUCUUUUUGUUUUUUUUCUCUCUUUCGGUGGUUGCGUUUUGGGAAUUUGGAAUUUGAGGAAAAACAUUCACCAGUAGGGCAGUAGAAUUUCUUUGGUUAGGCGCUUGCAUCGGGGUCGGGAGCCGUCGCGUGGGCGUGUUGGGCCGCAAAUCUUGUUUCGGCCCACUAACCCCUAUAACCCUAGCCGCCCUCCCCCUAACCCCCCCCCCAUUCUUUGUGCAGCCCCCCCCCCAUUCCCCUACCCUCUUGGCCGCCCCCCUCCCAUCUCCUCCUUUCUCAAGCACUUGCAGCCACACAUCAAACCCUACCCCCCCCCCCAUCUCCUCCUCCCAUGGUGCCAUUCGUUGCCGCUCGGAUCUCCAUCGCGUGGUGCAAAUCUUCAACGGUUUUCGGUGGAGGGAGGAAGGGAGGAAGAAAAGGGGGAGAACCCAAGGUGGUGGACUUCCGGAUCGUACUUAGGGAUUUGCCCGAACUUCCGGUAAAGGCAAGUAAAUAUAGUGGUGGUUGCUACCGUUUGGUUUGCAUCCUAUUCCCUGUCAUUGAGUAUGCAAAAGUUUUAAUUAUGUUAAUCAUUGAAUUAUAUGAUGAAGUUUAUUUGUUUGGAAGUAUUAAUUCUCAAUUGUCUAAUAUUGUGGAUGAUCAUAAUUUGGUAAUGAUAUAUGUGGUUGAUUCCCAUCUUGGAUGAAGUUGAAGUAUCUUUUUGAAUCAUGUUAUAUGAAGUGUUGUAGGCAUGACAUGCACAUCGCAUCAUCCAUCUUGCAUUUUGAAGUUAUGUCGUGAUCUUAUGGUCCGACUGUACCGGUACAUUUUUAGCAUCGUACGUUGCCCGAGGAGGGGUACGAUGCGGCUUCAUAUCCUUAGAGGUAUGAAGGCAGAAGUCAUCCUUGCAUUUGCAGACAUUUGCACUCAUGAGGUAUAUAUGAAGUGUGACAUUACUAUGUUACUAUUGUGGUUUCUACCCAAGAGGUGUGGACUAGGUGUGUUGUACGUUGUAUACGUGUUGCACCUUCGUAAUAAGAAAGUUGUGGAAUCAAGUGGUGGUAAAACAAUGUUCUUAUGUGGUUAAACAGUUUGAUAUUAUUUUACUUGCUGAGAUGUGUCAUCUCACUCUUGCAUUACUCAAUGCAGGUACUUGAUACAUGUUGGGAAUGAGGGGAGUAGCAGCACGUCCACUUUCACUCUCACAAUAACGCUGCCCAGGCGCAGCCAUGAUUUAAUUAGAAAUUUAUUGUCAAAGGAAGUUUGUUUUUUUAACUAGUCGUGCGCACUAGUUAAUUCAGUUCAUGUCGUAUGCUUAACUUCUCUUUACUAGCCGAU